GCUAUUGCAAGGCCACACUUCCCGACAGAGAAAUUCGACAAAACGUGUACGCCAUCGGUUUAUACAGCGAAUCUGCUGCGACGCUUUAAAAGCGGGAGGGCAAGAUUUUCGGAGGCUCUCAGUUAAAGCCAAUUUUCUCGCUCGCAAGUCACACAAGGAGGAAAACGUCAAAAUUUUAUGGACACCAAAGUACCUGACAAGGGGGUUUCUCAGGAGCUGACUCGUGAGUCGCUUAUUGCUAUCUCACAGUGCAUGCCGGAUACAGUUCUUGCUUCGAAGCACCCAUCUGAAUCAAACGGCACAAAUGCAGUUGAGUUGAAAGAGAGUGACGCAGCUGAGAAGUAUAGGUCUAAGCUGAUCUCUAUUUCCUACACAGAUACCGAAAACUCUCCAGCUGCAUUGGGAAACCUUGAGGUUUAGUUGGGAUUAUGGUUCUCUUUUGAUGGGAACUACUUGUAAUAUUAAACUUGUAUGGUUUGUUGUUUUCUAGAACUACUUGUGUCAAGUGGAUGGUGCUACCAUCAAUGUCUGGUUGAUGCUCUGUAUACUUCUUCUGAUGUCAGCAUAAACAGAGAAAUAAAAGUUUGUUAAUCUAAUAUAGUGAUGGAUGUUGUGUUUACACUGAUAAAGCUUUCUUGUGGCCAAUGAAUGAAUUAGAUCUCAAUUUUUGUUUGCUAUCUAAUUCCUGUUUCCUUAAUUUACGUGGUUGUUGUUGAAUUUGAUCUGGCUUAUAUAUGCUAGACUCUGAAAGCAAUACUUCAGUAGCGUUUCCUUACAUGUUUAGUUUCAUUUUCCCCCUUUCAACUACCAAUAUCUUUGUCUGUUAUUUAUUUGAUAUGCUGACUUUGUGUGUGCUGUCUUCUUGAAAUGUUCAUGUGAGCACAACACAUUAAUUGCAGUAAUAAGGCUUUCCAAAUAUGAAUUUUGGUGGGGGUAGGGAGAAUCUAGGCUUAUGACUACUGUUGUGUUUAUGGUCAGCUCUAUGAUGCAAGAAAAAUUCUUGGUGGUCUUUCCAUGAUAAAGUUUGGCUCUUUUGAUUGAAAGGUAUCCAACUAACUAGAGACAAAUGUUUUCAAAUAUCAAUCCCAUUUUGGUCUGUUCCAAUGGUAGAAUUGAGGACACUUCCAUACCCUUCUGGUUUGCAAAAUAAUUAUAAAUUCCUAAAUAAUUCCUGAAAUGCUUGGUUUCAUUCUGGCUUUGAACGUGAUGAAGAACACAGCUCAAAACUAGUAAUUUUAUAAAUUGUCAGUGACAGAAAACUGGACCUUUUGGUUGUGUCUAGUCUAUACUACUGUCAUUCCAAAUCUUUUGUUAACCAGAAGCACUGAUUAUUUGUUGGAUUAAUGCAUCUGUGAAGUGCAAUAGUAUCAUCAGCUCUAUGAUUAGUUUCCUUUCUUUUGGACUUCUCAUAUUUUGCAGGGGCAAUUUGAAACAAUUACACUUCUCUGUGUUCAGAAUCCUGUGUCGAACACUCAGUAUUUUGGUGUAGGAGCUGAAGUGAAGGAGGGACCUUUUGCAUUGAGCGGGAUGAAAUGAUUUGCUAUCAAUGAUAUUAAUGCCCCACCUUUAUUUUAGUUGUUGAGGUAUAAUCAAAGUUAGAACUAAAAAGAGACAGUUGGGUACUGUGAGUUGGUCUUGAAGAGCAUAUGAAAUAGACUCAAAUUUUUUUUCCUUUAUACUGCUACAUAAACUCAAAUAAUAGUUGUUUUCUAAGUUGUAUUUGCAGAAGAAUUAUGAAUUUUAAAUACCAAAUCUUGUAGGCA